CUUAAUAAAAAAUAAUAUUAAUUUAUUAUUCAUCAACUUAAUCAAUUAUUUAAUUAUACAUCAAUCACCUCUUAUUUUUAAAAAUAAAUAUUUUUAUAAACUGCAUAAACAGUUUUCAACGACAAAAAUAAAAUUCUAAGGAAACGGAAGCAAUCAGUUUUUUUUAAACUCUUUUAAAAUCCAUAGGACUUAUUGUAAGUAUACCAACCGGACCAGUCUAUACAGCACGCAAUCUCGUAUUGCUGGUUUAUAAAUAGCCUUGAAGCCGUGAGAGAAGAUUAUACGUGCAUCUAAUGCUCGACCGUAAGAUUAUUCCUGGCGCCUGAAGGAGGAUUCGCCAUAGUCCUUAUUAUUCUUACUCUCUAAUAACCAACUUGGCUAAUAUAACGUUCGUUAAUACAUACUCACCACAAACGACCACGUUUCUUUACCACCACUGCCACCAUCACCAUCAUCAUCAUCAUCGCCAUCAUCAUAAUCAUCACCGCUACCUUCAUCGCUACCUUACCUUCUUUAUUUUCUUCUUAGUCUCCAACUAUUUUUCUACCUUUCGGCGUCUGAAUUUUCUAGCUAUUUAAUAUAUCUGCCACUCUGAUAUUUCCGCAUUCUACAUCUAUGAACAUUUAACGUUCUACUAUUUAAUGGACGUCUACUAAAUAUCAGAAUAAAAUUAAUAGGCGAUAAUGUCAAGAAAAGUUACUAGUGGCUACCGAUAUAGUUGCCUUUGUUAUUAUUAUCACAGAAUUUUAGAUAAUCGUCUUUCUUUGAGUGGGAAAAAAUCGUGAUAAAAAAUGGUGACGAAAGAUUGCAUCAAGAUGGUUUUGUGGAUUCUUAGCAAGGACUCUCACACCAAGCUCUUUGUAUAUACAUAUAUAUUUAAAUACACUGUACAGCUAUAAAAUAUAACCAGAAAAUCAGAGGAUCAAUGAACAAGCUUAUGAUAGAUCAAGUUAGCAGAGGAAGAAGAGUCGGGCAUGAUAAACAACCUGAUACCGGCGCCAGGAAUAGAAAAUCCAAGUUAACAUCAACUCAGCCAACGACAUAAUGUCAAUGUACUCAAUACAGCAAGGAGACGGCUUGAGUUUAUGGAUCAUUGAGUUUUUCAUUUUUUUAUCGAGUGUUUGCGGACUUGAGAGAUACAAUCCAAUCCAAGUUUUGCAGAAGUAAGAGAGAAGAGGUUUAGCUUUAGCUUUACUUUGCUAGUAAGAGAGACUGAGUUACUUCAAGUGAUAUUUAAGUUAAAGAGAGUCUUUAAUAUGAAGCUUGACAACGGAUAAGAAGCGAUCUCUUUGAGUUAAGUGGGGAUGAAACACAUUUAAUCUUUCAUCGCGUAAUAUUUAAUCCUUUCUACUUAUACCGUUACGAGUCUCGGUCAAGGAAAUUUAUGCGAAACGAAACUGGAGCAAAAUGAUCUGAAAUAAAAAGAAAAUGUUUGGGUGGUCCAAAAGUGCUCACCUCAAAAGAAAAGACAGAAGGACAUGGACCAUAAAUUUUAAGAAAAAAUUCAUCGAAAUUUACUGAUAUCUUUUAAAUGGGAAAGAAUUGGUUGUUGAUAUUCAAUAGGGUUCAUCUCAAGGAUGAAUGACAACUUCUACAACAAGAAUUAGGUGAUUCAUUGUUCGCCCAUACGAAAAAAAUUUAUAUCCGGAUAUAUCCGAGCAAAUCUGUAUAUAUGAGACACAAUGAAAAAUUAGUUAUCUCAAAUAAAA